rnacentral:rRNA from 1 species
AGUCGAGCGACAGAUAAGGAGCUUGCUCCUUUGACGUUAGCGGCGGACGGGUGAGUAACACGUGGGUAACCUACCUAUAAGACUGGGAUAACUUCGGGAAACCGGAGCUAAUACCGGAUAACAUUUGGAACCGCAUGGUUCUAAAGUGAAAGAUGGUUUUGCUAUCACUUAUAGAUGGACCCGCGCCGUAUUAGCUAGUUGGUAAGGUAACGGCUUACCAAGGCGACGAUACGUAGCCGACCUGAGAGGGUGAUCGGCCACACUGGAACUGAGACACGGUCCAGACUCCUACGGGAGGCAGCAGUAGGGAAUCUUCCGCAAUGGGCGAAAGCCUGACGGAGCAACGCCGCGUGAGUGAUGAAGGGUUUCGGCUCGUAAAACUCUGUUAUUAGGGAAGAACAAACGUGUAAGUAACUGUGCACGUCUUGACGGUACCUAAUCAGAAAGCCACGGCUAACUACGUGCCAGCAGCCGCGGUAAUACGUAGGUGGCAAGCGUUAUCCGGAAUUAUUGGGCGUAAAGCGCGCGUAGGCGGUUUCUUAAGUCUGAUGUGAAAGCCCACGGCUCAACCGUGGAGGGUCAUUGGAAACUGGGAAACUUGAGUGCAGAAGAGGAAAGUGGAAUUCCAUGUGUAGCGGUGAAAUGCGCAGAGAUAUGGAGGAACACCAGUGGCGAAGGCGACUUUCUGGUCUGUAACUGACGCUGAUGUGCGAAAGCGUGGGGAUCAAACAGGAUUAGAUACCCUGGUAGUCCACGCCGUAAACGAUGAGUGCUAAGUGUUAGGGGGUUUCCGCCCCUUAGUGCUGCAGCUAACGCAUUAAGCACUCCGCCUGGGGAGUACGACCGCAAGGUUGAAACUCAAAGGAAUUGACGGGGACCCGCACAAGCGGUGGAGCAUGUGGUUUAAUUCGAAGCAACGCGAAGAACCUUACCAAAUCUUGACAUCCUUUGAAAACUCUAGAGAUAGAGCCUUCCCCUUCGGGGGACAAAGUGACAGGUGGUGCAUGGUUGUCGUCAGCUCGUGUCGUGAGAUGUUGGGUUAAGUCCCGCAACGAGCGCAACCCUUAAGCUUAGUUGCCAUCAUUAAGUUGGGCACUCUAGGUUGACUGCCGGUGACAAACCGGAGGAAGGUGGGGAUGACGUCAAAUCAUCAUGCCCCUUAUGAUUUGGGCUACACACGUGCUACAAUGGACAAUACAAAGGGCAGCUAAACCGCGAGGUCAUGCAAAUCCCAUAAAGUUGUUCUCAGUUCGGAUUGUAGUCUGCAACUCGACUACAUGAAGCUGGAAUCGCUAGUAAUCGUAGAUCAGCAUGCUACGGUGAAUACGUUCCCGGGUCUUGUACACACCGCCCGUCACACCACGAGAGUUUGUAACACCCGAAGCCGGUGGAGUAACC